GAGGAAAAGAAACUAACAAGGAUUCCCCUAGUAGCGGCGAGCGAAGCGGGAAGAGCUCAAAUUUGUAAUCUGGCGCUUUCAGCGUCCGAGUUGUAAUCUCUAGAAAUGUUUUCCGCGUUGGACCGCACACAAGUCUGUUGGAAUACAGCGGCACAGUGGUGAGACCCCCGUUCAUGGUGCGGAUGCCCAAUGCUUUGUGAUACAUUUUCGAAGAGUCGAGUUGUUUGGGAAUGCAGCUCAAAUUGGGUGGUAAAUUCCAUCUAAAGCUAAAUAUUGGCGAGAGACCGAUAGCGAACAAGUACCGUGAGGGAAAGAUGAAAAGCACUUUGGAAAGAGAGUUAACAGUACGUGAAAUUGUUGGAAGGGAAACGCUUGAAGUCAGACUUGCUGUUCGGAGUUCAGCCGCAAGGUGUACUCUCCGAGUUGCAGGCCAGCAUCAGUUUUUCGGGGUGGAAAAUCACGGUUUGAAGGUAGCAGUUUCGGCUGUGUUAUAGCUUUCCGUUGGAUACAUCCUGGGGGACUGAGGAACGCAGUGUGCUUUUAGCGGAGGUUUCGACCUCUUCACACUUAGGAUGCUGGUGGAAUGGCUUUAAACGACCCGUCU
rnacentral:rRNA from 1 species